AUUCGACUGAGUAGUCCAUAAUAGGACGAAACUAGGGUCCUGAAU
rfam:Schistosoma margrebowiei strain Zambia genome assembly, scaffold: SMRZ_contig0006971